GCUCUGAUGAGAAAGACGAAGAAGUUGCUUCUUUACCUUUUAAUCACAAUUAUAAAACAUUAACUGACAACCUAUACAUAUCCAGAUGAUAGAUCUGGCAAAGCUACUAGCACACUGUGUAGAAUAGCUGGUGUACAGAAUGUUUUUCUUCAAAAACAAAGUAUUCUUGCAGUGUUUCAUGUUCAAGAAUAUAUUCAUCAAACUCCAAGAGUUUUGGCCAGACUUCAGAUAACAGCCAAUGAGUCACUUUAAAAGAUGUCAAUGGAAAGUCCCAGGAGACCAUCUUAGGUAAUCUCUUCAUGUCAGAAAAUACAUUGAUUUAUCCACUUCCCACAAAGAUUUGAAAAGGCAAGAUGUUGACCGGUACAUCAAAAUAAGUUCAUUUCAUUUAAUUUCAGAAUUUGCAUGUAAGAGUAGUUGAAAACCUCAGUUUACAUCCUAAAAAUUUUAGUAUUUCACUAUCACAUAUAAGGAGUUGAAAAAGAAUUAUCAGACAUUUGAAGAAAGCCUCUAACAUAAAAAAAGUCUUAACAAAGAAAGGGGAAAGGGAGAAUUUGGGGGAAGUAGAGAAUAUUUCAUAAACAGAAAUAUCAGAGAGAAAAUUUUUAAGUAUUGCUGUAUGAAACAACAUAGGAUUCUAUAAUAAAGGACAUAUUUAAAAACAAUUAACUCUGGACAUUUAUUGCUAGAUACAAAGAUAUAGUUAAUGAAUAUUUCCAGCAAGUUUAAAAAACAAAAGGUAAGGAAAGCUAUAAGAAAAAUUUGUCAGUUUAAAGGAUUCAUAAGUACCAAUAUCUAAUAACAGGAAUUUCAGAAAAAUAUAAGAGAAAAAAAUUGAAAUUUGUAUUUAACAGUCAUGCAAAUUUCCCACAAUUGAAUAAUAGUCUCCAGAAGCAUUCAAGGAGUAUCCACAGCACUGACUGGAAAAAAAAUAUCUAUACCAAAACCAGUCAUCUUAAAAUUUCCAAAAAGUGGAUAUAAAUAUCCUAAAUUCUUAAGGAGGGUUAAAAAAGAAAACAGGUCACCUAUAAGGACUCAUGAUACAGAAUGCCCCUAUACUUCUCACUGGAAGCUAGGAGCAUGUGGGAUAAUGUCUUCAAAAUUCUGAGACAAGAUAGUGUAUACAUCCUGCCAGACUACCAAUCGUGUGUGAAGUUUGUAAAAAAGAUUUUUUAGAUAUUUAAGGUCUUGAUGCACAUACAUAUCCUCAGGAAGCUACUGGAGUUUGUGCCCUGAAUAGUUAGUUGAGUGAGAAAAACAAGAAAGGGAAAGAGCGGGAACACUGGAAAGAGGGCUUUCCCACAGAAGAGAAGUGAAAGGAAUUUGCAAGAUGAUGGGCAAAGGAAGGAAGUCCCAGGAUGACCAGUAGGCAAUGAGUCUAGAGACCAAAUGGUUCAGAUUCAUGCUGGAGGACAGAGGACUUCAGGAGGAAUGCCUCCAAGAAAAAGUUAAACUGAAUGUGAAUGUGUUUAGGUCCUUUGAGAACAUAUUUAAAGAUUGUUUGAAGAUGAACUAAUGAUAGCCACACUGAAAGGUGACCAAAUGAAAAAUUAAACUCUAGAGCUACAAAGAAUUGUGUAAAAUAUGAAAUGUAAUUUUAAUAAACUAUGUGGAAUAGUCUAAAUGGCUUAGCUAUGAAUAAUAUUUACAUAGUCACAAUAAUGCAAAUUCUAUUGACUUAACCACUAAACAGUAACAACCUGACUUAUAUCAUUCUAUUGGAUGAAAGUGUGUGUGUGUGCGUGUGUGUGUGUGUGUGUGUGUAAAUAUAUGUAUGUUAAUGCAUGCGUUUCUGUAAUGUGUGCUUUGGUAGAAAGAGAGAAGGGUAAAGCCCAGGGUUUCUCUUCUAUUGUCCAUUUUGGGAAGCCCAUAGAUACUGUUUAUGAUUGAGUAAUCAAGAGACAGUUGAAUACACAUGAAAUUUAGAAAACAGAGGUAAAUAACAAAAGAAACAGCUAAAUGUUGAACGUGAUAACUCUGGGGACUGAUAACCGAGAUAUGGAAGAGUAGAACAAGAAAGAGACUGUUGUUUGGUACAAGAUUCAUUAAAUUAUUGAACUCUUUCAACAAUAGCUGGUAUAAUUUUGAU